GGACUAUUGGUGACAAUACCAUCCGAGAUGUGAUUUGUUGUGAUGUGUUGCAUUACAUGAUGGCAUGAGAUUUUAAAUGUUGUUUUUCAUUAUUCUGCUCACUGGGCUCUAGUAGCUCACCCCUUUUCCCUAAUCCCCCAGGAUUGCAGGUACGGGCUAGACAGAGAAGUCAAGGAGAGUAAAGUCAUGUGUUUGUAAUAGAUAGGAAGUGGACAUGAUAAAUUGUAUAAUGAUGUAAUGUUAUGAUUAGUUAUGUUAUGUAUAAUGAUAUUGAGGAUUAGAAGUUGUGCUUGAC
rnacentral:lncRNA from 1 species